UGGAUGGUUACAUUGAACCUUCAUUUCUUGUGCUUACCAAAUAAUUAUCUUUCUUAGAAAGAAAAUGGUGUAAGCAUAUUACAUGGUACAGAAGUUACAUCUUUACCUCCGGGAUUCUUUUUUCCUGUUCCAAUUUUUACGUAACUGCAAUAAGUAACUUGUGCUUCUUGCAUACUCCUCAAUGAACAUUUUAAAAAGACCCAUUUCAAG
rnacentral:misc_RNA from 1 species